rnacentral:lncRNA from 1 species
CUGGAAUCAAUGAUUAAUCAAUAAAUAGGGUUUGUGGGGACAAGGGAGAGAAGCAACGGACAGAAGGGUUCGACACCGCUCGUAUUUGGCUGGCUCAAGCUAGAAAAAAGAGGGGGCCAAGAAAAAGGGAGCUUCUAAGGAGGAAGAGGCACAGAAAGGAGGACAGGAUUUAGCAACCUUAUUGAGAAAGUGGAUAGAGGUAGAGAAGGGUGGAGGUGAGAAAAGACAAAGAACUCUGAAGAGAGAAGACAGAGAGGGACCUAAAUGUUGCAACUGUAGCAAGCCAGGACAUUUGGCUAAGGAGUGUGAGGAACCAUGCACGCACUGCGAUAAGGUGGGCCACAAUCACCGAAACUGUGUGUUUUAAUAUAGCAUGCCAUGCCAUGUUAAACUUUGAGUCACUGACACGCGGAAUGGGGGAGGACUGGUUUUGGCAGUUUCAAUGAGGAUAUUAUUACACACACACACACACACAUGCACGAGCAUGCAGAGGGAGAAGGCAGGAGGGAAGAGAGGCAUCCAGAGAGGCAUCCGGACAUGUUAGAGUUGUGUCUGUUAGGAACACAUGUGGGAAAGAGAGAGAGAGAGAGGGACUAAAGGAAAGCAGCUGAGGAAAGCUUUCAAUGCAAAGAGGGCUCGAGGAGAAGAGGAUGAAGGGAAGAAAACACGGAGGAAGAGAAUAGAACAGCGCUCCUUCAGCUCUUUCAAGUUCAACUUCAGUCCCAUCAGCUUGGUGGACGAGAUUCUAACAGGAGAGGAGUGGUCACCAUUCCUGUCCAUUAAGGACAGUCCCGCCCCCUCACUGUCCGUUUACCAAUCAGAGGCUGCUAGCCAACACGGUGGUGAUGAAGGCGACCAAUUAAAGACUGAACCAGAGUUGCGCCUCCCCAACGACGUUCAACAUAACCACGAGGACAUAGGCCAUUCUUUAUAUGAGGAUGUUCACUUCAGCCAAUCAAGUUCGAAUGAGAUUGUGGACAACCAAUCGGACAAAAGACAACAGGAUGUAGACAACAACAAUGACACUGGAGCUGAUGCAAUUGCUGUCAUCAAACCGAAGAUACUAUUGGACAAUGAUGCAGCGGAGGAGAGUGAGUUGGACCACUCCAGACCCAUAUCUAAGGACAUCCAUGACUCUAAGUCCCCCAUAAGGAACCAAUCAAAGGACCAUCUUGACUUCUCCUGUGUUAAGUCACUUGGAGUUCUGGACAGUUCUGCUCAGAAACAUAAAAUUCAUCUGAGCAAAAAGAGAAAGCACAGACUUCCGGGGCUAAAGACGAGAAAGACCUUCAAGAUAAGACGCACUGCAAUCAAAGCCCCGGAAAUCAAAUUCCUCAAACCCUCUCCUCCUCCCACCCUCUCUCCCACAUCCCUCCCUUCUUCCUCCUCUUCCUGCUCCUCUCCCUCCUAUGUCUUUCCGUCCUCUGUUUUCUACAGCAUCCCUCCGUCCGCUGAAGAACACGACCACGGGACAACACCGACACAGGGCAACUUCUCCGUUAAGACCACUGAAUGCAGCAGAAAGCCAGAUGCAAGUCCUAAGCUGCCUCUGUCCAAGUUCAUGACAGUCCUGAGAGACAAAACCAAGAAGAAGAUUCAAUAG